UACCAGCUCUCCGAGUGGUAGGGAUGUUUAUUGGGCUUAAAGCGUCCGUAGCCGGCUUAGCAAGUCUCCUGUUAAAUUCAGCGACCUAAUCGUUGAGCCGCGGGAGAUACUACUAGGCUAGGAGGCGGGAGAGGUCAACGGUACUUCCGGGGUAGGGGUGAAAUCCUAUAAUCCCGGGAGGACCACCAGUGGCGAAGGCUGUUGACUAGAACGCGCUCGACGGUGAGGGACGAAAGCUGGGGGAGCGAACCGGAUUAGAUACCCGGGUAGUCCCAGCUGUAAACGAUGCGAGCUAGGUGUUGGGGUGGCUACGUGCCACUUCAGUGCCGCAGGGAAGCCAUUAAGCUCGCCGCCUGGGGAGUACGGCCGCAAGGCUGAAACUUAAGGGAAUUGGCGGGGGAGCACCACAAGGCGUGAAGCUUGCGGUUC
rnacentral:rRNA from 1 species